AUUGAACGCUGGCGGCAUGCCUUACACAUGCAAGUCGAACGGCAGCACGGGGCAACCUGGUGGCGAGUGGCGAACGGGUGAGUAAUGCAUCGGAACGUACCUUUCAGUGGGGGAUAACGUAGCGAAAGUUACGCUAAUACCGCAUAUUCUGUGAGCAGGAAAGCCGGGGAUCGCCAGACCUUGCGCCGAUUGAGUGGCCGAUGUCAGAUUAGCUAGUUGGUGAGGUAAAGGCUCACCAAGGCGACGAUCUGGAGCGGGUCUGAGAGGAUGAGCCGCCACACUGGAACUGAGACACGGUCCAGACUCCUACGGGAGGCAGCAGUGGGGAAUUUUGGACAAUGGGGGCAACCCUGAUCCAGCCAUGCCGCGUGAGUGAAGAAGGCCUUCGGGUUGUAAAGCUCUUUCGGCCGGGAAGAAAUCGCACGGGCUAAUACCCUGUGUGGAUGACGGUACCGGAAUAAGAAGCACCGGCUAACUACGUGCCAGCAGCCGCAGUAACAC
rnacentral:rRNA from 1 species